rnacentral:rRNA from 1 species
UACGUAGGGUGCGAGCGUUAAUCGGAAUUACUGGGCGUAAAGCGUGCGCAGGCGGUCUGUUAAGACCGAUGUGAAAUCCCCGGGCUUAACCUGGGAACUGCAUUGGUGACUGGCAGGCUUUGAGUGUGGCAGAGGGAGGUAGAAUUCCACGUGUAGCAGUGAAAUGCGUAGAGAUGUGGAGGAAUACCGAUGGCGAAGGCAGCCUCCUGGGCCAACACUGACGCUCAUGCACAAAAGCGUGGGGAGCAAACAGG